rnacentral:rRNA from 1 species
GACAUUGCACAUUGGGGGAAACCCUGAUGCCGCGACGCCUCGUGAGCGAAGUAGACCUUCGGGUCGUAAAGCCCGGUUUCGAGGGAAGAUAAUGACGGUACCCCGGGGGGAAGCCCCGGCUAACCACGCUCCAUCAGUCGCGGUAAUACGCAGGGGGCAAGCGUUGUCCGGAAUCACUGGGCGUAAAGGGUGCGUAGGCGGCCAAUAAAGUCAGAGGUGAAAGGCUACGGCUCAACCGUAGUAAGCCUUUGAAACUUAUUGGCUUGAGUGCAGGAGAGGAGAGUGGAAUUCCUAGUGUAGCGGUGAAAUGCGUAGAUAUUAGGUGGAACACCAGUGGUGAAGGCGACUCUCUGGACUGUAACUGACGCUGAGGCACGAAAGCGUGGGGAGCGAAC